AACAAAUGGCUGUUUUUUUUUCUAAAUACUAACAUAUUCAAUAGAAUAACAAGUUUUUGAUAAAGAGUCCUUAGUUUCUGAUUGAGUGAACAACCGCAUUGCUUUUCAGCGACAGUGGAUAUGGGAUAUAUCGAGAUCCUGCAUGCUAAGGUACUCUUGAGUGUUGGUGUGCCUGAUGGCCCUGGAGAGCAUAACGUGCUCCAUGGGCUUUUUGGUCUGCAAAGGCCAGAAGAAAUGAGAAGUUCUUUCUUACCCGUUCGUCAUCCACCAUUGACCUCUCAUCUUUUAGUGAAUUUGAUUGAAGCUGCCAAACCAUACCAGCGCUGUCAAUUUACCCUUCACCACUGUCAUUUCACUUUCAUCAGUGUCACUGUCGACCUCGUCUAAAAAUGACAGACAGGAAGGGCCUUUUGUUCUUUUUUUUUUUCUUCUUCUGGAGCUAACGUUACUCUUCCCUGAAAAACAGUUGGAUUCAAACACACGGCCACAUCCCUUCUCUGUGGCCAUCUCCCUGGUUUCAGACACACGCCCACACAGAUGGGAUGUGGGCUUACUCUUUCUGCAGCUUGUCUUUGUCAUCCUCCUCUAUCUUUGAUGCGCUCUGCAAAACCACAAAAAUUGAAACAAAGUGAUGAAACAGGUCAAAUACCUUCUCCACGAACUACUACCUCACACUCUCCAGAAAUGGCAGCAGAGUUCCCGUAAUGAGGAUCAGAGAACAAACAAAAAUCACAUAU
rnacentral:lncRNA from 1 species